rnacentral:rRNA from 1 species
UACGUAGGUGGCAAGCGUUGUCCGGAUUUACUGGGCGUAAAGAGCGCGCAGGCGGUCGUGCAAGUCGCGUGUGAAAGCCCCCGGCUCAACUGGGGAGGGUCACGCGAUACUGCUCGACUUGAAGGCAGGAGAGGGAAGUGGAAUUCCCGGUGUAGUGGUGAAAUGCGUAGAUAUCGGGAGGAACACCAGCGGCGAAGGCGGCUUUCUGGUCCGAUACUGACGCUGAGGUGCGAAAGCGUGGGGAGCGAGUCCGG